AUAUAUAUAUAUAUAUAGCAGUUCUUUGGUUUAUUUUAAUAAGCAAGUUCUUCUUUGCUGGAAAAGAGCAAGCAAUUCCUUCUUUGCAGAAUGCAGAAAAGAGCAGUAACCUAUUCUGUCUGAUAUCAGCACUUCCUACUUCUAUAAUUCUUAUAAAUACAUCAGCAUGAUGCAUUGUAUUAUAACUUCAGACUGAAAUCUUGUAAAUAGUCUACCAAAUCUAACAACCAAAUUCAAGAUUUUUUUUUUGUUUUUUAAUUUAAAUUAUUAGCUUAAUACGGCCGUUUAAUGCAAGCUAUCUCUUUGAAAACAUCUAUUUAUCAUUAUAUUGUUUGUUUAUUCAUCAAUAUAAUUCCCUUGUGGCUCCCACUUUUCAUAUAAACUAGCCUUUAACUUUUCAGAGCCAAUACUUAACUCAAAUCUCCUAAAAAAAUUCUGCCAAAUCAUCUAAAUACAGUUUUCAUUUCUGCUCUAUACAUUGUCAUCCCUCUGAUCAACAGUACUGUCCUAAUUUUGGCCUUGUUGGUUACUGACAUAUAGGUGUGCUUCCAUUUCCCUUCAAAUUGCGCAAACUGACAUUGCGAACUGAAAAUACUUUACAAAUACGUUUUUAUAUUUUAUUAUUAAAAAAAUUAAUAAUUCGCAAACCUGCUGUGGAAACAGUGUUUUCUUAUUUGCAGGUCACAUGCCGUAUGUAAAAAGUCAUAUGAUAAUUCUUCAAUGUACUAUAACCUCCAAAAAACACUUCAUACGUCCGGUAUAAGGGUUUUCCCCUACCAUUAAUGCUUAGACAAUUUACACUGCACACGUCUGCGGUGCAGUUUGGCUCUGAUACAGCCACUGAAGCUGAUCGCAGCCACUCUAUACAUGCACGAUACAUGCAUACGCCUCCUUUGAAUAAAUAUCGCCAAAAUAUUACAUUUUAGAAGCAUAACCUUGGUUAAUGGAAAUGCUGUCAUUUUGCAAUGCUUUUUUUUAAUCAACAUUUAUAAAAUAUCACCAAAGUUUUGCGCAAAUCUGUAAUGGAAACCCACCUAGUGCCUCUUAAAAUAGCAACUCACUGAUCAAACACAGCUGAGAGAGAACAAAGCAAGAGUAGAUUUGUUUCAAAACUUCACUAAAUCCAAGUGAACUUAGAAUGGCAAAUAGCCAUUAGAUGAAUGUGCACUAAACAAUUUGCUGAAACAUAGCUACUACUCUGCUGUUUCACCCAUCCUGUCUAGAUCAAGGGACAUAGACAAUUAAAAGAAUUGCGACUUAUCAGUUUAUUUGUUAAAAUAAAUCUAUAGAAGGACUGAGAAUGUCAAUGUGAGAAUAGGUAACAAAGAUAGCCUUUCACGAAGCGUCCAUUCGCUUUUUAAGAAUGAGUAAUGAAAAAAAGUUAUCUUUUGCUGAACUUCUAUUCUAUUAACAGUAGGUCGCGACCUGAUACUGUUCUUCCCGUAUGUCUUACACAGUACGAGGAUAACUCACUCUGCCAAAUAUGACAGAGUCCAAAUUCACAGCACGAAAAAUAUGUUCAAUUUCUUAACAGACAGUAAGAAUAAUUAAAGAUUAUUCCUCACCUGUCUGCAGAAAUCCCGACGAGCCCCCACUGUUAAAUAACACAUAAUUCCGUCUUUAUCUUUCGAUGCCGUCUGACCAUUCUCAGUCCUUGCAUGAGCUCAUGGAAAGAAGUAAAUGAACAUGAAGCCUUUUAGUCUGCUCACAAACUUCUUCCCCGUUUAUUAUUAAAUCCACACAUUAUAUAGUUGCAUUGCAAGGGGUGGUGUUUUAGUUUAUCCAAUGAGAUAUGGAUUACAUAUGUGUGGUACACAAGCCAAGAAAUAUACGUUAUAUAAAAUGAAAGUAUGGCCAGGAAGUUCUGGACAUAUUAGGAGCACACUUUGGCCAAGGAUACCUCAACUCUGAGCAGAUGGACAGACCGAACUCAAUAACCUUCGGGCCUAU
ensembl:lncRNA